rnacentral:lncRNA from 1 species
AAGAUUUUGUAGCACUCUUUGUCAAGAAAUUGUGAAAAUUAUUUGCUUGGAAACCUUUUUUUAAACUUUCCAUCCUGCUGGCACACAUGAUUCCUUUUAAGUUGUGCACUGUGCUUCCCCCAAGUCCUUCCCAGUGGGAGCUUUAAGUAUAAAACACCUCAUUAGCCUCAGGGAACUCAGAAGGAGAGAAGAGUGCGAGGAAGGGAAUUGAGAGAAAGAAGAAAAAAGCCAAGGAAGUCCAAACAGGACAGUGCACUAAGAACAAGAACAAGUCACACAAAUACAAAGUUUUAACCCCUCUGUUCCAUACAUUGAAAGUUCCAUUCAUUUCUGGCCUUGAAAUUUCCACUUGUCCUUGUGACUCCCUUUUAGAGAUAAGGUAGGUGUGCAUGUUAGAUGUGUGUGUAAAGGGAGACUUGUGGAUUAGUGUAGGCUUCCCCUAAAACAAUUCUUAACCUUGGCCACACACUGGAAUCAGUUGAGGAUAUUUUAAAAAUACUGAUAACUUUGUCCAUCCUCAGAGAUACUGAUGUAAUUGGUUGGGGCACAGCUUGGAAGAUGGAUUUUUAAAAGAGCUCCCUAGGUAAUUCUAAUGUGCAGUAAAGGUUGAGAACCACUUGCUUAAAAAGAAAACAAGAAGCUUUAGCUUUUGAUGCCUGCAGGACUCUCCCGGGACAAAUGCUCUGGGACCCAUAUGUUUAAGGUGAAUAUGGGAAAAGUUAACUUUAUUACCAGGAAGUAAGCAAUCAAUGUUUGAAAAAUGCUGUAUUAAAGUUUGAGUAGUAGUAUAAUAUGCCAAUUAUUAUUAUAAAAUGACAACUGUCUCCAAACUGGAGUAUUAAAGCAUGAUUUAAAACCAUUAGUUUCUCUACCUAAGUAAUGUAGCUUACAUAUCUACCUUAAUUUUGGAACUGAAGUAUUUUGGCUCUUUAUGAAUAGUCAUUAUGUCCUUCUGCAGUGUUCCAGAGGAACACUGCCUUCCAAAGUCUGGCCACCUGCAUGAGGAUAUCCUCAGCUGAGAGUUUGAACAGAUGAACAUGUGGCACAUCUAAUAGAGAGGUGUAAUGUUUCACCAAGAAGAAGAGCUGGUUGUCAUGAGUUAGUCCUGCAGAGAGCGGGAGAUUUCAGAGUGGCCAACAGCAGUAUGAGUAGUUAGAGGCUCAGUUAGAGUAUCAGGGAAAGCAGCAUUAUGUAGUAGUUAAAAGCAAAGCCUCUAGAGUAAAACAGACCCGGAUUCAAGUAUUACUUCUACCACUCAUUUUCUGUGCAUAACCUUAAGCAAGUUGCUCAACAUUUCAGAAUCUCAGUCUCCUCCUCUCUAAAGGAAAGGUGAUGAUAAUGAACUUAAAUCAUUGGGGGCUGUUAUGAGGAUUAAAUGAGCUUAUGCAUGAACGCUCUUUGCACAGUAACACUAAGUGAUAGUUAUUAAUCCUCCACCAGUAUCACCCUGUCUAGGCAAGCCCCUGGAAAAAUCCUACUAAUUCUGUAAGGAUUAUCUCCAAACUUUUCUUCAUGCCCUGGUGAUACUUUGAACCUCUCUUAUGGCACUUUUCCUGUUUUUCUGUUUCUUACAAUUAUAAAUAUACUUGCCUAAUCUCUUCCUGCUAGACUGAAAGUAACUUGAGGGUAGAGAUAUUGUGUAUGUGUCUCCCACAAAGACUAACAGAAAAUCUUGCAUAAGGUAGGCACUUAAUACUUACUGAGCUGAAUUAAAUUGCACUAGUUUAUAUUUUAGUAAAAAAUGCCACUGCAUGUGUGAUAGUAGUAGGAGAUGAGGUCAGAGAAGAGUCAGGAGAUCUGAUCGUGAAAGGCCUUGUAAGCAAAUAUAAAGAUUUCCAAGUUUUACUGUACGUGUGAUGAUAGCCAUAACAGGGUUUUGAGCAGAGGAGUGAUGUCAUCUGCUUUAUGUUUUUAAAGGUAACUCUCACUGCUGUGUAUUGAAAAAGCUAUAGUGGAAGCACUUAGGAGUACAUUGCCAUGUUUCUGGGGUAUAAAUUGAGCAAACAAAAAAUGUUUUAUGGGAGUAAUAAUUGAGUAAGAAAGUUCAGGCUGUUGAGUUAAUUAAGCUCGAGUACUGAUUGGGCACCCAGUAUUGCUCAGCAUUUCGUUAGGUUCUAUACCAAGACUUUGUCUCUGAUAUUUAGAAUUUAAGGGCUAUGAAGACAGGGACAGAGUCUUCCUUGUUCACUGCUGUAUCCUUAGCUCCUAGAGUUGCACCUGGUAGGUGAUCAAGAAAUACUCAUUACAUGAUUGAAUAAAUGAAUGUAGGAGCUUUAGAACGUAAAUCAUACAGUGUUUUUAUUUUAUUCCAAUGAGUUGCCAAUAUUUAAAAGUCAAGAAAUUCCAUAUAAGGAUAAGAAUGUUCAGCUUUUAUGGUGAUAUUGGAGCUCUAUUUCUGCAUCCAUUUAGAGGAGAUAUGCACUGACCAGUUUCAAUAGUUCCCACUAUUUUGCUGAAGUUGCUUAUCAGAUUAAGAAGCUUUUGGGCUGAGAUGAUGCGGUUUUCUAGAUAUAGGAUCACUUCAUCUGCAAACAAAGAUGAUUUGACUUCCUCUCUUUAUAUUCGAAUACCUUUAUUUCUUUCUCUUCCUGAUUGCCCUGGCCAAAACUUCCAAUACUAUGUUGAACAGCAUUGGUGAGAGAGUGCAUUCUUGACUUGUGCCAGUUUUCAAGAGAUGUGGUUGGAGCUGGAAGCUGUUAUCCUCAGCAAACUAAUGCAGGAGGAGAAAACCAAAUACUGCAAGUUCUCACUUAUAAGUGGGAACUGAAUGAUGAGAACAUUUGGACAUGGUCUCUAUUCAGAGAACUGUGGUAGGUCAAGCUAGAUCUUAUGGUUAAGUUUGGAGGCCUGUGAGGCCAUUUUCCUCUACCUAAACUCAAACCUUAAUCUCAGAGUCUUAUUUGACAGCUGACUGCAAUGUGACAGAAGGCCACAAUGAUAAGCUUGAUUAAUAAAAACAGAAUAGAGAAUUGACCACAAUCAAGUAUUGAUGUGUCGUGGCAUCUGACCAGUCAGAUAAAAGUUAGGUGGAAGGCACAACAAAGUUUUUAGUUAUUAUAUCCCUUAUUCUAGAAUUCUACAUACACCAAAUAUGAAAGGAGUUCUAAAACAGCAUUUUGAACAUAAUGGAAAUCAGCAUGUAUUCAGCUGGAGUGCUAUUUCAGGGGGAAUGCUUUCAUCUUUUCCUUGUUCAGUAUAAAGUUGGCUGUGGGUUUGUCAAAAGUGGCUUUUAUUACCUUAAGUUAUGUCCCUUCUAUGCCAGUUUUGCUGAAAGUUUUCAUCACAAAGUUAUGCUGGAUUUUGUCACAUGUUUUUUCUGCAUCUUUUGAGAUGAUUGUAUGAUUUUUGUUUUUACUUCUGUUUAUGUGGUGUAUCACAUUUAUUGACUGACAUAUGUUAAACCAUCCUUGAAUCCCAGGUAUGAAACCCACUUGAUCAUGGUGGAUUAUAUUGUUGAUAUGCUGUUCAAUAUUGUUUGCUAGUAUUUUGUUGAGAAUUUUUGCAUCUAUGAUCAUCAGGCAUAUUAGCCUGCAGUUUUCUUUUUUUGUUAUGCCCUUCUCUGGUUUUGGUAUUAGGAUUAGGGUGAUACUACCUACUCUGUUAUUAGUACUUUGGAACACUUAGCUCAUUUACAUUCAGUAUCGGUCCCAGAGUUCUUUACUGCGCAAAGACUUAGAUAAUAAUAGAGGAGGGAUGGCAAAUACAUUGUCUCAAAGUGGCACUUUUUCAAUAUUUUCCAAAGGUAAUAAAGCUGGGCAGAGAAAUCGAGCUGCAAAAUGACCUACAGAUAUUACAGUUUUAUUCUUGGAAAAUGGAGGUUGUCUAUUAGUGUGAUGGUAACAACCAACUAAUAAAAUUUGGAGACUAGA